rnacentral:lncRNA from 1 species
GCAUUCGGCACACCCUAUCAUUAAUGCAUGAGACUCCCUCAAGUCUCCGAUGCACUCAGGCAUUUAAUGAACACGGCCCAAGACGAUCUCCGGAUCGCUGAACCAUCAGAGCGCAUGGCUCUACCUGACCGCCGGUUCAUUCGGUAAUAAAUGCACUCACCAUCCACAGACCCCAGGCCCGCUAUGGCCGGCGGUUCAACCACUCCAACAGGUCCGAUCGACCGUGACAACUCCCUGGUUCCGGUCUGAUUCGGCCCCGUUCUCCACUACGCCAUAAAUGGGCCAAAUCGUGCCCAAUUAUUACAGACAGGGACAAAUCCCCC